rnacentral:rRNA from 1 species
CCUACGGGAGGCUGCAGUGAGGAAUAUUGGUCAAUGGUCGGGAGACUGAACCAGCCAAGCCGCGUGAGGGAGGAAGGUACAGGGUAUCGUAAACCUCUUUUGUCAGGGAACAAAGGCGGGGACGUGUCCCCGGAUGAGUGUACCUGAAGAAACAGCAUCGGCUAACUCCGUGCCAGCAGCCGCGGUAAUACGGAGGAUGCGAGGUUUAUCCGGAUUUAUUGGGUUAAAAGGGUGCGCAGGCGGUCUGUUAAGUCCGCGGUCAAAGCCAGGGGCGCAACCCCGGCCCGCCGUUGAAACUGGCAGUCUCGAGUGGGAGAGAGGUAUGCGGAAUGCGCGGUGUAGCGGUGAAAUGCAUGGAUAUCGCGCAGAACUCCGAUGGCGAAGGCAGCAUGCCGGCUCCACACUGACGCUGAGGCACGAAAGCGUGGGUAUCGAACAGGAUUAGAUACCCUUGUAGUC